GUACAUCGUUGGUUAGUUGAGGGAGCUGCAGAUAGAAGACCUAGUGCCAGUCAGUGCCAGUACACAUGAAACCGCGCCUACCAACGCAUGUCGCCGCUCAGUACGGCACACACCCAUCGCCAAUUUGCCACGUUGAUUGCUUGCGCGCCGGCGACGUUCUUUCAUGUUUGGUUGGCGCCCGGCGUAACUUGUUUCUCGGGGCUCAGCUACAUCAGCCACGGGACUACGCUAACCUGCCCCUUGCCACAUGUCCCAUCGCACCCAUCGCCAUGUUCCGGACAUGGGAUAGGAUGAAGGGCCGCCGUCUGAGUUAAUGUUGUACCCAGAGGCCGGCAUGACGUGUGGUCGAGCACGAGCGGACGGUGGCAAUGCGUGCAGGAUGCGUGCGUGUGUGCCGGCAGGGCCUUGACGUAUUGCGGUCUGCAACGGUGUGACGCACACGGGGUGCAUGUAUCCUCCUCUGGCAGAAGUACAUGGCAUACCGAAGGGCCUACGGCACUGCCCUAGCAGGAGCGUUGCUACAAGCCCACUGGGACCAUGCGUGCUCUGGGGAAAUAUCGGUGGACGCGGGAGAGAGGAGUGAGUGACAUGGCAAAUGGCGGCAGAGCGUGUCAAGGCGAGGCACGGGGCCGGUGGUUAGUGCCGCUGUCGUGAGUGUUUCCCCCAUUACACUGCCCCCACAUACUACACACACGCGCGCGCCUUGCGCGGCACCACGGAGUCACGGGCGCUGCACGGCGCUGCGCAGGGGUGCCCUGGGGUGCGGCCACACGCUGAGGGCGGGGCCUCAGGCGACUCGCCGCGUCUCGCAGUAGUUCUGCGUACCUACCUUGUACUUUAUACCACGUCAUUCAUAAGCACACACGGCCCUGACUAGAAAUCAGCAGCGACAUAGCCUGGAGAUAAAACGCAUCAACUGCGAAAUCCUACGCACCCGGGUUUACCAGGCUAACAACGGCUCCUUAUGUACGUAUGUAUUUCUGAAACGUUCCCAGUGGACAGCAUCAACUGUCAAUUCGCUUAUAUCCCUGUCGGCACCUGACGAGGACCGAUGGCCCUGCACCACUUCGAACAAAGCACAUGUACCGAACACAUGAAACUGGAAAGACUGGUAAUGUCGC
rnacentral:lncRNA from 1 species